AUUGAACGCUGGCGGCAUGCCUUACACAUGCAAGUCGAACGGCGGCACGGGUGCUUGCACCUGGUGGCGAGUGGCGAACGGGUGAGUAAUACAUCGGAACAUGUCCUGUAGUGGGGGAUAGCCCGGCGAAAGCCGGAUUAAUACCGCAUACGAUCUACGGAUGAAAGCGGGGGACCUUCGGGCCUCGCGCUAUAGGGUUGGCCGAUGGCUGAUUAGCUAGUUGGUGGGGUAAAGGCCUACCAAGGCGACGAUCAGUAGCUGGUCUGAGAGGACGACCAGCCACACUGGGACUGAGACACGGCCCAGACUCCUACGGGAGGCAGCAGUGGGGAAUUUUGGACAAUGGGCGAAAGCCUGAUCCAGCAAUGCCGCGUGUGUGAAGAAGGCCUUCGGGUUGUAAAGCACUUUUGUCCGGAAAGAAAUCCUUGGCUCUAAUACAGUCGGGGGAUGACGGUACCGGAAGAAUAAGCACCGGCUAACUACGUG
rnacentral:rRNA from 1 species